UACGUAGGGGGCAAGCGUUGUCCGGAUUUAUUGGGCGUAAAGAGCGUGUAGGCGGUUUGGUAGGUCCGCUGUGAAAACUCGAGGCUCAACCUCGAGACGCCGGUGGAAACCAUCAGGCUAGAGUCCGGAAGAGGAGAGUGGAAUUCCUGGUGUAGCGGUGAAAUGCGUAGAGAUCGGAAAGAACACCAACGGCGAAAGCACUCUGCUGGGCCGACACUGACACUGAGAGACGAAAGCUAGGGGAGCGAAUGGG
rnacentral:rRNA from 1 species